rnacentral:lncRNA from 1 species
UUACUCAAAACCUAGUGGCUUAAAACAAUAGUCACUAUUUCACAGUCUCUAUAGGUCAGGAACUUUGGUGCAGCUAGCUGACUCCUCUUUAGGGUUUCUCACAAGGCUAACAUCAAGAUGUCAGCUGGGGGUGUAUCAUCUGAAGGCUUGACUAGGGAAGGCUCUGCUUCCAAGCAAACUCAUGUAAUUGGCAGCAUUCAGUUUUUUGUGGGCUGCUGGACUGAGGACCCGUCUGUUGGUCUGAGACCUCCUCCAGUUCUCUGCCACAUGGGCCUCUCCAAAAUGGCAGCUUGUCAAUCAAAGCUUGCAAGCUGAUCAUGCAGUGGAGAAUACCAACAAGUCAGUCAUUUGUAACCUAAUAACAGAAGUGAGACUCCAUCUAAAAUAGAAGAAAAGGUUUCUCUUCAUGGACAUUGUUUGCAUCUACAUGUGACACUUAGGAAUGAUCUGUUUAGUCUCAAUCACUCACUCCUGGAUCUGCCUGUCUCUCUCUGAGAUAACAAAGGCCUUAAUGUUUAGCCACCUGCAUCAGAGUUGGUGAGGUGGUUUGAAACAAUUCAUCCUAAUAUAAAAAGAACAGCUUUUGUAAGGGGGCACUGAGUGUCUCAAACAGCCGCAUGGGCAGGAAGAGUGCUCAGUCCAGUUUUGGUUGAAUUUGUCUUGUUGCCCUAAGGCCUCCUAUGAAAGACUGACAGGCUUGGACUGAAUCUUGUGAUCUGGACACCAAGGGUCACCUGUGGGCCCAGAGCUAGCUCUGAAGAAUGGGGUAGUUUCUUUGAGAACCUCCACAGCAAAAGUUUGGUCCUCUGUUCCCAAUGCAUGUCCCACUUUACCAGCUACAUCCCCCAGUACCUGCCCAUGGCUCAUGACUCAUGAAAUAUAAAACUCAGUAGGCAGGCAUAACUGGUUCAGACCUGCCAGGGCUAUGUGGGAACUAUCAUUGGUACAAAAACUCUAAGUGUGGAGAAGACUGUGGUAGACAAGAGGGGACAUGUCUGUUCUAAACGCACAUCAGAAACUUCCAAUGACUAUGGCCAAGUGAGAUAAGGGUGUACAGAACUUCUCAGGACAUGCAGACCUAUGUGUCACUCAUAACUGAAAUUCAAAUAAAUAUUUUGUGGAUUUCCUGUGGACUCCCUGGGCUGUUCAUCUCAUGGCCAUCACUGCACAGGUAGGCACCUCAAGACAGAGAAGACAGAAAUCAUGGUCUGGAGUGGCUUAUGUGAGUAGCCAGGGUUUCUUGAGAAUCAUAUGGCCGUGGCCUUCAUAAUUCCACUUCUGGUGGCCACCAAGCAGGUCUGUCCCUCUUAAGGGGUGGGGAGACAAUAUGGUGGAGUCAGUACAGAUUUCCCAUAUCUCCUGGUUUUCCAAGAAGAGCCAAAUAUUCAGAUUUCUAUGUGGCAUGUGAUUUUAUAAAUGUUGAAAAUCAUUUCCAAAAACAUUUCAAUGCAAACUCAGUUCACCAAAACUAUAGGUUGGCUUUAGAUAUUUCCCUGGGUCCUCCUGAGGCCUAGGGGAGAAAAGACCGGAAAUCCUCUGACAUGAGAAUCUUUGGCCUGUGGUGUCCAUCCAUACUGUAUGAUGGAUCAGAGGCCACUGCAGCUGCCACGUCUCCUGGAAGCCCCUGAGGGGAUGGACAAUGAUAACCACAUUGUGAGCAGAAGCCACAACAGUUUUGCCGUCAGCAAAGUUUACAGCAGGGCUUCUCAAAUACUCCCCAGCACAGUGAGGUGUCUGGGGGAUACCUACCCUACUCAGGCCUUCCUUCCUGAGUGUAAUGUCUCCAAUAUGGAAGAUGCUAAUGUCUCCAAUAUGUAAGACACAUGUGGGAUCAGAAUUAAAGGUUAGCUGAGCCAUAUGGGGCUCAGCCUUCUAAGCAAAUAAAGUUAGGGUAGACACGUCAUCAGAGCUCAAUCCUCUGUGUGAGUGGCCAAGAUUAGAUCUCAUAAGAUGGUGCUGGGCAUGAUUGUGGCAUGCCUGUUUCCAGCUACUUGAGGCAGGAGGAUCACUGGAUCCCAGGAGUUCAAGACUGCAGUGAGCUAUGUUUGCACCACUGCACUCCAGCCUGGGCAACAUAAUGAGACCUUGUCUCUAAAACAGGAAAAAAAAAAGGCUGGGCGCGGUAGCUCACGCAUGUAAUCCCAGCACUUUGGGAGGCCAAUGCGGGCGGAUCACCUGAGGUUGGGACUUUGAGACCAGCCUGACCAACAUGGAGAAAUCCCAUCUCUACAAGAAAAGAAAGAAAGAAAG